rnacentral:miRNA from 1 species
CGAGGCUCCCCACCACA